rnacentral:rRNA from 1 species
GACGAACGCUGGCGGCGUGCUUAACACAUGCAAGUCGAACGGAAAGGCCCUGCUUUUGUGGGGUGCUCGAGGGGCGAACGGGUGAGUAACACGUGAGUAACCUGCCCUUGACUUUGGGAUAACUUCAGGAAACUGGGGCUAAUACCGGAUAGGAGCUCCUGCUGCAUGGUGGGGGUUGGAAAGUUUCGGCGGUUGGGGAUGGACUCGCGGCUUAUCAGCUUGUUGGUGGGGUAGUGGCUUACCAAGGCUUUGACGGGUAGGCGGCCUGAGAGGGUGACCGGCCACAUUGGGACUGCGAUACGGCCCAGACUCCUACGGGAGGCAGCAGUGGGGAAUAUUGCACAAUGGGCGGAAGCCUGAUGCAGCAACGCCGCGUGCGGGAUGACGGCCUUCGGGUUGUAAACCGCUUUCGCCUGUGACGAAGCGUGAGUGACGGUAAUGGGUAAAGAAGCACCGGCUAACUACGUG